UACGUAGGGUGCAAGCGUUGUCCGGAAUUAUUGGGCGUAAAGAGCUCGUAGGCGGUCCAUCGCGUCGGGAGUGAAAAGCUGGGGCUCAACCCCAGUCCUGCUUCCGAUACGGGUGGACUAGAGGUAGGCAGGGGAGAACGGAAUUCCUGGUGUAGCGGUGAAAUGCGCAGAUAUCAGGAGGAACACCGGUGGCGAAGGCGGUUCUCUGGGCCUUACCUGACGCUGGAGGAGCGAAAGCGUGGGGAGCAAACAGG
rnacentral:rRNA from 1 species